UGCACGUUCUAACCUAACCCGGCCACGGUGCAGCCUGCAGCCCCAGAAGCACAGCCUGGCAAGGUCGGCCUGCUGCGCACACAUCUGCCUCUGGCCUGCGAUCGCACCCCCACCUCCAGGUGCAGGGCAGAUGUGACCGGAGAGCACUGUUCGCAGCACAGCGUCCCCAGGCACACACAGGGACUGACUGACAAGUUGCAGACGCUGCGCCCAGGCAGCCACGUUGCUGUGCGCAACGGAGGAGGAGACCGUGCACGCAGCCUGCCUUCAGUGUGUGAGGACGACACACGCAUUUCAUUCGUGUUUAGAAGAGAUGGUGAACGAUGGGCACGUACCCGCCGGCUUCUCCUCUAUGCCAGCUGUGGAUUUACUGCCCCUCAGCCCCCAAGCCGUCUUCUACCGCGCUGUGAAGACGGAGCUGAGCCUUGAACUGCUCUCCCUUUGCCAGCCCAAAGCCUAGCCCUUGCCAGCUCAGGGUGCUGGGUGGACACUGAGGUUCCCUGGUACCCCUCUUGGGGGUGUUGCAGCCAAACGCCCGGUGAGUCACCCUGUUGUGCACAGGCUUUCCCAGCAUGCUGGUACAUUCCACCGUGUGGCACCACAGCAACCUCCCUGACGUUCAGUGAGCUGGGCCACACCCUCCGCCCAACGGUCUGGAGAGACGCUCUGGCGAGGCUCCACCUUGGUCCUGGGGUGGGAGCUGGUCCCUUAUAUCUGCUAUCCCUAUGUUCUGUAAACAUUCUCUUUACUUCCCAGGAGCCGACAGUUUCUCAGUCCAGUCCCAGCACAGUGAUUGGUGAUUUAUAUGAAGUCUGCCCCUCCAGUGACCGUGCACUUCCUUCUGAGAGAGAACUGUGCCAGGGGAGGGCUGAGCUCCACCCUCUCCCUCAGUCUCUAAGACACUGAAGCCAUGCUGUGCUCUCACCACCAGAUCCCCACCAGCAUCACACUGACAACACUGCAGGCCAGUGAGCUCCUCUGGGAGGGUCAGGAUCACCAAGCCCUGUGAGAAGGAUGUUAUGGCCAGGAGCAGGACCGCCAUGCAGGAACACUGUGGCAACCCUGUGCAGAAAACCUGUUGGCCCUGCCAGGUGACACAGACUGUGCCGGUGGCACUCGUGAGCUGGCACAGAAAAAGCAGCCGCAUGCCAAGCGCAGGGCUGUGUGGCUUCGUGGCAGCAGAGGCUGCGUCUGCCUGCAGUGAGGAGGGGCUCCGGCUGUGCCCUCAGGAGCAAAGUGCUGGUGAGCCCGUGCGGUGCUGAUGGCUGCAGAAAGCCAAACAGUCACGCUGACCGGACAGUUCCGCCGGGGCAGCCUGGGGACGAGAUCAUGAUGACGACAGUCCCAUGUGAUCCUCAACGUCAGGUCACAGGCACUUCAUGAAUUCUUUCAGGCUGGACUUGUGUUUUCCUAGUGAAAGCCGUCUUGGCGUUGUUCCACAUACAAGUAAUUAUUGGAUUUUUCUUCAAAACAUGUCAUGAAUAUGAGGCAGGAUUUGAGUAUUGAGGCAAAAUAAAUCUAUUUAAAUUCUCCAUCCUUUAGUGCUUU
rnacentral:lncRNA from 1 species